rnacentral:lncRNA from 1 species
AUGGACUCCAUGAUCUCCUGCUUGAGGGAGCCAGUAGUCUGUGGGAAGACCAUGUUGCAGUGUUUCAUCACGGGCUGCCCAUGCCUCUUUCUGGUCCCUCCAGUGACCCAGCUGCCUUGUGGAGAACCAUACUGUCACCUGUUGUCAUCGACAGCUUCUGUCUCCAGUCAGCUUCCACUCUCGUGGAAGCCAUUAGGCCAGGGAUUCCAGUCAUCCAUGUUCCCUUGUAGGAAAGCGUUUCCCGUUGUAGAGGAAGAAAAAUCGACCCGUUGUCUGGAAUGCUAUUGUGAAAUCACACUGGUGCCACGGCCUGUUUUUCUGGCAGUGAAACCACAGAAAUCACCUCUCUCGGAAGGCCAAGCAUGGAGAAGAAUUCUCCAGCUGAGACUUUUGUGGUCGUCUGGCUCUGUUUACAACCGACAGAGGCCCCAGUUGAAUGAGGAUGCUAUGAUUGAAAAGGACGAUUGA